rnacentral:rRNA from 1 species
GGUGAGUAAUACAUAAGUAACCUGCCCUAGACAGGGGGAUAACUAUUGGAAACGAUAGCUUAAGACCGCAUAGGUACGGACACUGCAUGGUGACCGUAUUAAAAGUGCCUCAAAGCACUGGUAGAGGAUGGACUUAUGGCGCAUUAGCUGGUUGGCGGGGUAACGGGCCCACCAAGGCGACGAUGCGUAGCCGACCUGAGAGGGUGACCGGGCCACACUGGGACUGAGACACGGCCCAGACUCCUACGGGAAGCAGCAGUAGGGAAUUUUCGGCAAUGGGGGAAACCCUGACCGAGCAACGCCGCGUGAAGGAAGAAGGUUUUCGGAUUGUAAACUUCUGUUAUAAAGGAAGAACGGCGGCUACAGGAAAUGGUAGCCGAGUGACGGUACUUUAUUAGAAAGCCACGGCUAACUACGUGCCAGCAGCCGCGGUA